GAUGAACGCUGGCGGCGUGCCUAAUACAUGCAAGUCGAGCGAACGGACGAGAAGCUUGCUUCUCUGAUGUUAGCGGCGGACGGGUGAGUAACACGUGGAUAACCUACCUAUAAGACUGGGAUAACUUCGGGAAACCGGAGCUAAUACCGGAUAAUAUUUUGAACCGCAUGGUUCAAAAGUGAAAGACGGUCUUGCUGUCACUUAUAGAUGGAUCCGCGCUGCAUUAGCUAGUUGGUAAGGUAACGGCUUACCAAGGCAACGAUGCAUAGCCGACCUGAGAGGGCGAUCGGCCACACUGGAACUGAGGCACGGUCCAGACUCCUACGGGAGGCAGCAGUAGGGAAUCUUCCGCAAUGGGCGAAAGCCUGACGGAGCAACGCCGCGUGAGUGAUGAAGGUCUUCGGAUCGUAAAACUCUGUUAUUAGGGAAGAACAUAUGUGUAAGUAACUGUGCACAUCUUGACGGUACCUAAUCAGAAAGCCACGGCUAACUACGUG
rnacentral:rRNA from 1 species